CAUUUAGACAAUGGUGGGGCUUCUGACUUGGAUUUUAGCUCAUCUUGCUCUUCACAGGAAGCUGGAAGUGGUCCCAGAGGAGCUGGCUGGAAGAGUGUAUUUUGCAAGCCAGGUGUGGUGCCACAUGCCUGUAAUCUAACACUCGGGAAGAUUGCUGUGAGUUUGAAGCCAUCCUGAGCUACAUGCUCCCAGCCAGUUUGCACCCCAGACUAUCACCAAGACAAGGUUCAGUUUGGUUUAUCCGUUGGGCCACUGGCUCCAGCAUCACGCUGCCCUUGCUUGAAGAUGCUGCAGCAGCUGAAGCUCAAGUCAACCUGAUCCAGAGCUGGCUCCUCAUCCACUGAGAGCUCGCCACGCCGAUGGCAAAGAUGCUAUUUAUCAUGACACCAACCUGGGUUUAGUUUCUCUGCUUCUUCAGUCUUUUUUAUGGGAAUCUGUUCCAACCAAGAUGCAAGCUUCUUUCUUUAUCGUGCUCCUCACCCCACUGAACCGCUAUUUUUACUGUUUAAGUGUGUGUGUGUGUGUGUGUGUGUGUGUGUGUGUGUGUGUAGGACAAAGGUCAAGGUUGAAAGUGUUCCUCUUUAUUUUUCCAGACAGGCUCUCUCACUGAUCCCAGAGCUUACUGAUUGGUUAGACCUGCUGGCCAGCAGUCUGUCUCCACCUCUUAGUACUGGAAUUGUGGGCACACAUGCCUGCAUCUAGCUUUUUACAUGGACACUGGAGAUCUGAACUCAGGUCCUUACAUUUGUGAGGCAAACACUUGUUGGCUGGUUCAUCUUCCAAGUCCUACCUGCCCAACCUUUUAGUUGGGAAGAAAGGGAGGCCUCCUAUGAGUGCCUCAACAUCAGGACAGACUCAGGCAGACCCUGGUGUAGUAGCCUUUGACUUUUUCAGUCUUUAGGAGUUCAAAGUGUGUAACAGACAAACGUAGAACUAGGAAGUUAACCAACACCCUGGUGUAAAACUUCACCUUUGCAGUUUUCUCUUGAAGGUGUGUGAUAUCUGGAGACCUUUUCUUAAACAGUCGUCUCUGAGCAGGAGCUUGUGGGAGGGAGAAAUGAGUUAAAGAUCUAUAGCAUUUCAUUGAUUUACAUCUGGUCUUAUUCCAAAAUUGCUGUUGGAGGCACGCAUAAUUAACUCUGUCUCAGACUGCCCUGGACCCGACUCCAAGUCUUUUACAGUUUAGUUUCAUUGAUGAUCUUGACAUAUCCGGAGAUGGAUGAAGACUGAUCUAAGUCCUCACUGGUAAGCGAAGAGCCUCUAGGUAGCAACUUGUGUGGGAAGACUUAUCCUUGGAGGAAUAGAAACAUUGCUACAGUUAAAGCAUUACCAGGGGAGCUGGCUGUGUGCUAAAUAAUUUUGGCGUUAAGGACACACUAAGAUAUGUGAGAAACAGCAGAAGGCCACCCUCACCUUUCCCCUCCUUGCCUCAAACAGCACCUAGACUUAGGAAGGAUUCUCUGACCUCCCCUCUGAGGCAGAUGAACAGACCCUCAGGGGGGUGUCCAUAGGUGAGGGAGGGAACAGCCUUGUGUCAGGAUACAAAGGGACAUAGUGAGGGUCCGAACUUAACCUUGUUAAGUUACCCCUGUUUAUUAACUUGAGUUUGCCAUGGAGAACUGUGAUUAAAGGCAGGUGUGACCUGA